UCUUUUCAAAACUUAACGUUU
rnacentral:piRNA from 1 species